GAUGAACGCUGGCGGCGUGCCUAAUACAUGCAAGUCGAACGCUGGAAAUCUAGCUUGCUAGAUUGAAGGAGUGGCGAACGGGUGAGUAAUACAUAAGCAACCUACCCACGAAGACUGGGAUAAUCUCUGGAAACGGGGACUAAUACCGGAUAGGUAAUCGGAAGGCAUCUUCUGAUUAUUAAAGGUUAAAAACACUGGUGGAUGGGCUUAUGGCGCAUUAGUUAGUUGGUGAGGUAACGGCCCACCAAGACGAUGAUGCGUAGCCGGCCUGAGAGGGAGAACGGCCACAUUGGGACUGAGACACGGCCCAGACUCCUACGGGAGGCAGCAGUAGGGAAUGUUCGGCAAUGGGGGAAACCCUGACCGAGCAACGCCGCGUGAGUGAUGACGGCCUUCGGGUUGUAAAGCUCUGUUGUAAGGGAAGAACGGUAGAUAGAGAAUAUCUAAAUGACGGUACCUUACCAGAAAGCCACGGCUAACUACGUGC
rnacentral:rRNA from 1 species